AGUGAACGCUGGCGGUAGGCCUAACACAUGCAAGUCGAACGGCAGCACAGUAAGAGCUUGCUCUUACGGGUGGCGAGUGGCGGACGGGUGAGGAAUACAUCGGAAUCUACUUUUUCGUGGGGGAUAACGUAGGGAAAUUUACGCUAAUACCGCAUACGACCUACGGGUGAAAGCAGGGGAUCUUCGGACCUUGCGCGAUUGAAUGAGCCGAGGUCGGAUUAGCUAGUUGGCGGGGUAAAGGCCCACCAAGGCGACGAUCCGUAGCUGGUCUGAGAGGAUGAUCAGCCACACUGGAACUGAGACACGGUCCAGACUCCUGCGGGAGGCAGCAGUGGGGAAUAUUGGACAAUGGGCGCAAGCCUGAUCCAGCCAUACCGCGUGUGUGAAGAAGGCCUUCGGGUUGUAGAGCCCUUUUGUUGGGAAAGAAAAGCAGCAGGUUAAUACCCCGCUGUUCUGACGGUACCCAAAGAAUAAGCACCGGCUAACUUCGUG
rnacentral:rRNA from 1 species